rnacentral:rRNA from 1 species
UACGUAGGGCGCAAGCGUUUGUCCGGAAUUAUUGGGCGUAAAGAGCUCGUAGGCGGUUUGUCGCGUCUGCUGUGAAAACCCGAGGCUCAACCUCGGGCCUGCAGUGGGUACGGGCAGACUAGAGUGUGGUAGGGGAGACUGGAAUUCCUGGUGUAGCGGUGGAAUGCGCAGAUAUCAGGAGGAACACCGGUGGCGAAGGCGGGUCUCUGGGCAGUAACUGACG